UUUCCUGCACAAUCCCGUUCACCUGGUGACAUCACCGCAGACCAACAUAGAAAAGUAAAAGCAGCGGAGAGGUUCACGUCAAUCCUUUUCAACGCUAGCCAGAGGGGACAAGAUUUGGCUUCUAAAUAUAGUCCCCCAGUGAGGGCUGCUGUCUAUAAAGAGAUAAACAAUGGAUUCUAUUUGGAAAAAGGGGAAUAUUCCUCUUGCCCCCAGGAAAAAAAUAAAUACGAUUCUCCUUAGAAAUCAAAAUGAACUUUGUCUUGCAUCCAUUAUCUUCACAGAUGGUGGUCUAACCUUUUAUCUUUUUUGUCCAUGUAAGAUCUGAGGUGAAGGACUGUGGGGUUUUUUCCAAGCAGCAUCCAAUCUCUCUAGCUCCCCUUCCUAAAUGCGGAGCUCAUUCCAGGUGAUGUGGGAUCAGAAUGAAUUGAUUUCUAAGCCGGCAGAACGUGACUUGUGAUGACAAUUUGUGGAGGGAUUACAAACGAUCAUGGUCCCAGUGAGACAUAUGAACGGGGGGGCCGGAAAGCAAAUGAGUACCAUCCCCUGGAAUCCGGGUGGCACAUCGUCUUAUGCAACAUCACUCUCCAACUCCUCUUCCAAAACACUGACCCACGGCGGUCCACAGGGGUGUGCCCAAAAACCAAGGGAGCAGAAAGAGAGAGAGA